rnacentral:rRNA from 1 species
GACGAACGCUGGCGGCGUGCCUAAUACAUGCAAGUAGAACGCUGAAGGAGGAGCUUGCUUCUCUGGAUGAGUUGCGAACGGGUGAGUAACGCGUAGGUAACCUGCCUGGUAGCGGGGGAUAACUAGUGGAAACGAUAGCUAAUACCGCAUAAGAGUAGAUGUUGCAUGACAUUUGCUUAAAAGGUGCAUUUCAAUCACUACUAGAUGGACUUGCGUUGUAUUAGCUAGUUGGGGGGGUAACGGCUCACCAAGGCGACCAUACAUAGCCGACCUGGGAGGGUGAUCGGCCACCCUGGGACUUGGACACGGCCCAGACUCCUAAGGGAGGCAGCAGUAGGGAAUCUUCGGCAAUGGACGGAAGUCUGACCGAGCAACGCCGCGUGAGUGAAGAAGGUUUUCGGAUCGUAAAGCUCUGUUGUAAGAGAAGAACGAGUGUGAAAGUGGUAAGUUCACACUGUGACGGUAUCUUAACAGAAAGGGACGGCUAACUACGUG